UAGGUUGUAUUCGACGGUGUUUAGCUCGCAGUUGUUCGUCGAACUGUUCUCUCAAUUGUUUAACUGACUUCCCAAUGGUCGGUAAAUCAUUAAAUUGAUUAGUGUUUGUGAUUCGCCUUGCAUCUACUACUGGAAUUACAUUUUCAUUAGUAAAUAAAGUUAGGUCAAUUGUCAUACUUGUAGUGGGCACAAAGUCUGUAUAGUUUUUUGUGAUCCCCAAUGCAGCCGGUAUCAACAGAUCGUACGAUGCGUAUGCUUUGCAUGUUUCGGGUAGUGAUAAGGCGCCAACGUCGUUUAUGGUAUGAGCGAUGGACUCCUUUUUCCCGUCGCAAGCGAUUACAAGCGGUUCUUCGGUCGUUGCGUACAGCCAUUGGUUCUUCAGUUGCAAUUUGUGAAAUAACGUUGUUUCCAGUUGGAAGUACAUCAUUUCACAAUUUUCUGAUGGACGUCUCCACUUGCAGUUGAAUCACUGAGGACUCUUGGACUUCCUCUAAAAAUCCGACUUCUGACACCAAUUUACGUACUGCACCAAAAGAUUUAAGCAGCACACUUAUAAGACUUAGAAGAUAUGUGAAAGUAUGGUUAAAAUUGAUAUGGACUAUCUCCACUUAAAUUGAUAAUUGUUAUGGUCUGCAACAACACUACUGCCAACCGAAAAUUUGGUAUAUUAAAUUCAUGUAGUCAAUCAGUCUAAACCAAUUUCAUCAAUACAUUGCCGCAUGUUGAGACGUAUUCAAUUUUCAGUAAAUUUAUAGCAGUUUUAUUCUAAGGGUACAGAUGCCAGUGUUUAACUAACGCCUAGCAGCCCAACUCAUCUCAAAACUAGCUCGGGGUACGGAUGGAGCUCGUUGACGUUCAAGUCGUAACAGUCUCUCAAGUGAUUCCGCAUCAUCGGUCCUGUACAUCUUUAUGGCUUCAUUUUUAUCCGUUAAGAUACAAGUACGGGUAGUUGUGUUAAUUUGAAUUUCUUUUAUGUAUGAUUGUGAAUCUUGUGAGCUCAAGUAUAAUCCUAGCAAACGACACUUCCGUAAUAAAGAGGCAUUAUUCUCUACAGCUUGCACAGAUCCUGAUCAAAAAUUAAAACAUUUUUUUUAAAUUUACUAAUAUUCGCUUACCAGUUACUUUUCUUUGUGGUGCAAGACAAAACUGUUUUAUUUGUUAAUACGAUGUGAUAAAAAAAGAAUACAAUAAUUUUUAUAAUAUAUAGAGUAGCGGUUCUUUACCCACGGUCGGAAACCGUGACAACUUAUACAUGUCUGGUCAAUUGUUCACAUAUCUUAUCAGUAGAAUACACUUUGGACAAAUUUUUUUCCAACCUUAUAUUCCCAUAUUAUAUUAUAUUAUCAUGCCCAAAAAAAGUGCGUAUAUAAUAUAUGUAUGCAUAUUUUAUAAAUCUAUAGUAUUUUGAACUGAUUAAAUUAUUAUCUUGUAUUUUUACUCUUAUGUCUUUAUAGAAGUACAACAAAAUGAUAAUGAUAAUGUGAUAAUAUUAUCGUUGUAAUAUAAUCAUACUUUAUAAUGCAAAUAGGGGUUUAGAUAAUGUACAGUCUACUGAUAAGAUAUUUGAACGAAUGACGGUUAUACUAGGUGACAUUUGUUUCCGAGCAAGUAGAUAAAGAAUCGAUUAUUCACAUAAUAUAAAAAAAAGUUUUUCAGCCGAGUCUGCAACCACGAAAGAGCAUUUUCAUGUCUCGUUGAAGUACCGAAUAAAUUUAGAUAAGUUGUGAAAUUAUAAUUAAAAAAAAAAAUUACAUGGAGCUUCCAGUUACAGCAUAAGUCCAAGAAGAUUAAAAAAUUAUUUACAAUCAAGUUUCUGGCUAAAAUUGUAAUGUUUAUUAUCUGGCCAAAAGUAAAUUAACAUAGAGAAUUUAACUAUUUCGAAUUUAUUAUCUAGUUCUAAUUUGAACGUUGAACGUACAGCAUAUCUCAAAUCUCUUAUCUUAUAUAUCUUACCCCUAUCCCCUACCCACUAUCUUCCGUCCCAAUCACUAAUCCCAUACCCAUUCCCACCCCUAUCUCCCACCCCUAUGUCCUGUCCCCAACCCAAACCCUAUCCCACCUCCACCCCUUAUCUUCUACCCCUAUUUCCACCUCCAACCCAUCUACGUGUGGUAACGCUCUUUUGGUAAUGAUUUUUUCGUUACGCUUUUUUUCGGUUAUUUGCCAGAGCUAAUUCAACCCCUUUCCCAUUCCCACCUCAUCUUCAACCCCAUUUCUUUUUUGGUAACGCUCUUGUGGUAACGCUUUUUUCGGUUAUGUGCCAGAGCUAAGACAAAUGUCAAAAAAGUGGAGCGAACGUUAUUUAUGUCUGAUUAUCAAAAACAGUAUUACCGAUAGGGGUCAAUAUAAUUAUUAAUAGCAGAUAAACCAAAAAAUAUUCAUUUUAAAUUCAAAUCUUUAUUAAGUCAUAACAAACGAACAGAUAGUUGAAAAUUAGAAGCUCAAACGCUAAAAUUGUUUUAAAAAUGUUGUCUACAGAUUUAUAAAAUUAAAAACAUAAGUUUUCAUUUAAAAAAACCAAAUGCUAUAUGCUUGUUUAACAUAUAAGGGUUGAAGAUAAGAAUAUUCUAAAUAUUGGAAAAUUUAGUAAAAUAUGUACCUAAAAGUUUAGGAAAAAAAAAUUUUUCAAAAUAUUCAUAUUUUCCGAGAAAAGGAGUGUCCUACGUUAGUUGGAUCACUCUGUAUAUAUUUAUAUAUAAAUUAUAGAGCCGCAAGGGCACUCUCCUAGGGUGAAGAGUUUAACGACCCCACAUACCCUAGUUGCGUUGGGCCCCUUAAUAAUGGAGUUUUAGAGCGGGGUUAAUCUCACUACCCUUUAAAAAAAAAUCUAUAAUUUUAGAGCAACAAAAGCCUCGGAACGUGGAGCUUACGGAUUUAUGUAUUGGAACGUUAUCAAUGUAUAGGACUGGAACUUUGACGACAAUUAUAUCGUGUCUUAAUUGAUACAGAUUGGAUAUAACGGUAGUUCAAGAUUAAGUUGGGACAGAUCUGGUAGUAUAGGUCACAAGGAAAUACAAUUUUUUACAGUGGCGGAGAAAAACAUGAAAGGGAAGUUUUACCAAGUGUUGUCAAGUUUUAACCAAUUAGUUAUAGAAUGUGGUAUGUGGAGUUUAAAUGCAGAUGGUUUGGCAUGGGAAAAAAAAGAAUACAACUCAUAAAAAUAGUAAAAAGAAUAACGUGCGAAUAUUUGUUGAAAAAGCAGAUGAAGUUAAAUAAGGAUUUAAACGUAAAUCAUCAAUGAUUGAAGGAAAAAAUGGAAUGUUAUUAACCGAAAACGGAAAAAUAGCAGACGAGUUAAAAAAAUAUUUAAUGCCCUGUUAAACCAACAUAGUGAAAAUACUAUUAUAGAAGAAUGCGACUCAGAAGAGCAAAACAUAGAACCAUCAAGAACAGAGGUAGAAGUUGGUUUGAAAAUGCUCAAAAACGGAAAGGCGGCUGGAGAGGAUGAAAUUAUUUUUUAAUGCCUCAAAAAAGGAGGACAACAAUUAACUAAUCAGAUACACAAUUUCAUUAUUAAAGUAUCGGAACAUGAUUAAAUACCAUGCCCGUGGCUUAUAUCUGUUUUAUGUCCAGUUUUUAAAAUAGUAGACCCUAUGGAUUGUACAAAUUAUAGGGGAAUCUUGAUCUUGUCCUGUCUUAAAUUCUACUCAGGCAAGUAGUUGUUGAAGCAAUGGGCCCAAAUGGCCUAUAAAACGCAUCGAAGAAGAAGAAUACUUAUAUAUAUAUGUAUAAAAAUAUUUGACGGUAUUCAAAAACCAUACAACUUAAUAUAACAAUAUUUACCUAGUAAACGACGUCGAAUUAUACUUUGUAAAGCUUUAAAAACGAUUUUUCUUCUCUUAUUUGUAAAGGAAAUCAGUUCAUCGGUACCUAUGAAAAUGAUUAUUAAAUGACCCGUGUUGCGAAGAAAUCAUAAAAAUAAACAAUAUUUUAGUCGCUAUUUAUACAUAAUUGUUGCAUUGCAUUUGAAAGAAUUGUGGUAUAAAUAACUUUUUGUCCAACCACUUAUAAGCGUCGAUACUCAACAAAUCUAUUCUUUGUAUACUUGGAAUUCAAAGAAUAUAAUUCACAUCAAUAGUGUAGCCAACUUUAGGUUGAUGAGGUGAAAUAAUAUUCAUUUUUCUAUUUAAUUUACAAACAUAUCGUUCAAAAUAUCACCUUAAAUUGUUACUAAGUCUCACUCUCCCUCCCUCUUUCCUCGAAAAAAUUCGAAUUUUUUAAAAUUAUUAUAAUAUGAUAUACAAAAUAAAUAAAUCAAAUCACAUAUGAAGCAAUUAUCAACUCUAAAUAGAGGCUGUUAACUAUCAAAAAAUCGUAAUUACAUCUUCCAUAUGCUUCUAUUGUAAUUUCUGUAACAAAUACAUUAAAAUAUUAUUAAGCAGUUAAUAAAUCCCAGUUGACAUAUUUUAUACAUAUCAUUCACUCUAUAACUGAAACU